ensembl:misc_RNA 7SK 7SK RNA
ACAUCUGAGGGCAAUCUGGCUGCGACAUCUGUCACCCCAUUGAUCACCAAGGUUGAUUCGGCUGAUCUGGCUGGCUAGGCGGGUGUCUCCUUCCUCCCUCACUGCUCCCUGUGCCUCCCUCCUUAAGCUGCGCGCUGGGUCGAAGAGGACGACCUUCCCCGAAUAGAGGAGGACCGGUCUAAGAUCAAGGGUAUAUGAGUAGCUGCGCUCCCCUGCUAGAACCUCCAAACAUGUUCUCAAGGUCUAGUCAUAAAUUUUUAAAGAAAUAACCUAAGUGAAUAUUUGCUAUUGAGAAUAUUGGGGUUAAGUUUGUGACCAGUAUAU